rnacentral:tRNA from 1 species
GGGAUUAGCUCAGCUGGCUAGAGCGCCUGCCUUGCACGCAGGAGGUCAUCGGUUCGAUUCCGAUAUUCUCCACAAACAGU